CGACUCAGCCCCCCUCCCCCCGGCAGGUGGCUGUGGCCUGGGCGGGACGCGCGCGCCUCGCGUGGGCGCGUGGGGGGCUCGGAACUGUUCCAGGUUAUUGAAGCACAUUAAGAAGAAGAAACAAACAUCCCUUUUUUGCUUUCUAGGGAGAAAGAUAAACUAAACACACAGUAACAAUUACAGAUUUCAGACAAGGUCUGUUUUUCAACAAUGCCAAAGUCAGACGAUUGCUUCUUUUCCAUGGAUAAUUUGUUUUUCAGUAGCCCAGAUGAAACUGAAAACUUUCCAGUUAAGGAAAAAUCACUGGAUUGGUUUCUCCCUCCUGCUCCACUGAUUUCAGAAAUUCCAGAUAUUCAAGAGUUAGAGGAAGAAAUUGAAAGUUAUAAGCUACUAGGGAAAGGAAAGAUGCCAAGAAUGUUAACAUCAAACUUGAAGAUCAUUAAUGAAGACACAAAUUGUAUUUCACCAACACAAAAAAUCCAUUUUUCCUAUAAUGUACAUGAACAGGAUUACCUAAAUUUAGGAGGAUCAAAUAACAAUGACAUGUCCCAUGUAGCUGGGAAGCUGAUGUAUGGUUCUUCUCAGAAAUAUAAAAAUCACAUGGGUGCUAAGAGUCCAUCUGCAAGGAGUAGUCCUGGUGAUACAAAAUUACAUGAUGUGGCAGAAGACAGACAGGGCACAUCAGCAUUCAAAAAAAGACUGUCUAGAACAUGUGACAGUGAACAUGACUGUGACUAUGCUGAUGGAAGUUUAAACUUGAGUUCUCAUAUCAGCCCAGUGAAACUUACCCAAACGAAAAUAAGCAAAGAGAAUGCAUGGACGUGUAGCAAUAGUAAGCAGAAACGUCAGUAUUCUACAAACAAAUUCAAAGCAAAUGAUGCUUUUUCUGCUUCUGGAAUUGGAAAAGACAUAUUCAAAGCACCAUCAUUUCCUGCUGCAUCUCAGCCUCAUGAUAUUCAAGGAAUAACCCCAAAUGGCUUAGGUUCUUUGAAAGCUGUCACGGAAAUCCCGGCAAAAUUUAGAAAUAUAUUCAAAGAAUUCCCUUACUUCAACUAUAUACAAUCCAAAGCCUUUGAUGAUCUUCUUUACACAGAUAGGAAUUUUGUGAUUUGUGCCCCCACUGGUUCUGGGAAAACUGUAGUGUUUGAGCUAGCGAUAACAAGAUUGUUAAUGGAAGUACCAUUGCCAUGGCUAAACAUGAAGAUUGUUUACAUGGCACCAAUAAAAGCCCUUUGUAGUCAGCGGUUUGAUGACUGGAAAGAAAAGUUUGGACCAGUAGGCUUGAAUUGUAAAGAACUUACUGGUGAUACAGUAAUGGAUGACCUGUUUGAGAUUCAGCAUGCAAAUAUAAUUAUAACAACUCCAGAGAAGUGGGACAGUGUGACUAGGAAGUGGAGAGACAACUCUUUUAUCCAACUGGUUCGACUGUUUCUCAUUGAUGAGGUGCAUGUUAUUAAAGAUGAAAAUCGUGGUCCAACUCUUGAAGUUGUAGUUAGCAGAAUGAAAACUGUACAGUCUUUAUCUAGGGAUUUAGAAAGUGCCAGCCCUGUUCCAGUGAGAUUUGUAGCUGUGUCUGCAACAAUUCCCAAUGCUGAGGAUAUCGCAGAAUGGCUUUCAGAUGGUGAGAGACCUGCUGUAUGUCUCAAAAUGGAUGAGAGCCAUAGACCUGUGAAACUUCAGAAAGUAGUCCUGGGUUUUCCCUGUAGUAGUAGCCAAACUGAAUUUAAGUUUGAUUUGGCCCUCAACUAUAAAGUGUACAGUGUUAUUCGAACAUACUCCGAUCAGAAGCCCACACUUGUGUUUUGUUCAACAAGGAAAGGUGUGCAGCAGGCUGCUUCUGUUCUUGUGAAGGAUGCUAAGUUUAUCAUCUCUGUGGAGCAGAAACUACGGUUGCAGAAGUCUGCAUAUUCUAUAAGGGAUUCAAAGCUGAAAGAUACCUUGGUAUAUGGUGUUGGUUACCAUCAUGCUGGAAUGGAGCUGUCAGAUAGAAAAUUGGUUGAAGGAUUGUUUACCUCUGGAGAUCUACCAGUUCUUUUCACUACCAGUACUCUAGCUAUGGGCAUGAACAUGCCGGCUCACCUGGUUGUUAUAAAGUCUACCAUGCACUACAGUGGAGGUGUGUUUGAAGAGUACAGCGAGACCGACAUCCUGCAGAUGAUUGGGAGAGCUGGCAGACCCCAGUUUGACACUACAGCUACUGCAGUCAUUAUGACUCGACUAAGUACAAGAGAGAAGUACGUGCAGAUGCUAGCUUGUAACGACACUGUAGAGAGCAGUUUGCACAGACAUCUUAUUGAACAUUUAAAUGCAGAAAUAGUGCUGCAUACCAUCACAGACGUGAACAUUGCUCUGGACUGGAUCCGAUCAACAAUGCUGUAUAUCAGAGCUCUGAAAAACCCAUCUCACUAUGGUUUUUCAUCUGGAUUGAACAAAGAUGGGAUUGAAGCAAAAUUACAAGAAUUAUGUUUGAAGAAUCUGAAAGAUUUAUCAUCACUAGACCUGAUAAAGAUGGAUGAAGAUGUUAAUUUUAAACCAACAGAGGCAGGAAGACUAAUGGCUUGGUAUUAUAUUACAUUUGAGACAGUCAAGAAAUUUUGUGCAAUCAGUGGAAAAGAAACUUUAUUGGAUUUAAUUUCAAUGAUAUCGAGCUGCAAUGAGUUUCUAGAUGUGCAGCUGAGGAUAAGUGAAAAGAGAAUACUGAACACCUUAAACAAAGACCCAAACCGGAUAACUAUCAGAUUUCCAAUGGCAGAAAGAAUUAAAACAAGAGAAAUGAAAGUAAACUGGGUUGUCAGAUUUUGUGGCUGCUCAGGAAAAGAAGUUUGCUGUGCUUUUAAACAGUGUGAUUUUAACUAAAUGUUUUAAGUGUAAACUCUGGGAAAACUCUAAACAUGUAUCAAAACAGCUGGAUAAAAUUGGCAUAUCAUUGUCAAAUACCAUGGUAAAUGCAGGCUUAACUUCUUUUAAAAAAAUAGAAGAAGCAAAUGCAAGAGAACUUGAACUGGUAUGUAGUAUAUUCUGUGUUCCCAGCAUUACUGAAUUCUAUUUAAAUUCCAAACCCCAGUGUAUAAUGUCUUCAUUUCUAUUAAAAACUAUUUGGAUGUGAGAGAUGACUCAGUCAGUAAAUUCCAUGCUACACAAGCCUGAGGAUCCGAGUUCAGAGCCCAGCACCCAUGUCAGAAAUAACCCAGAGUCACAUGCCCAUAACUCCAGCUCUUAGGAGGUGAAAGCAGGAAGAUCCGGGUGUGGUGGUCAUGUGGUCCAGUGCAGUCAGUGGGCACUGAGUGCAGCCUGCAUACUGAGAAAAGGUGAUGAGCAACUGAGGAAUACACCCAGUGUUGAUUGAUGGUCUCCUCAUUACACACAGACACCUACAUGCGUACAUACAUGAACAUAUAAAGCACACACAAAAAUAUUUUCUUCUUCCAUAGUCAUAAGUAUUUCAAUUACAGAGGUUUGGGGUGAGAAACUUAUAUUAAACCUGUGAAGUCUAAGAAAUGUUUCAGUAAGAGUUUUAAGUGUUUGUGAUAAGAAGAGUAUAAUGAUGUAAAUAUGCUUAGAUUUUAAAUAGACACCCACCAUUUGGGACCCAGAUAAAAGAAGCUGUGGCGCAUCUGCCGAAGUAUGAGCUUGAGGUGGAGCAGGUGAAUAUUCUGACUGUCUUUAAAAGCAAAGCCUUCCAUUACUACAACUACAGCGGCGUAUGAGCAGUGAGAUUACUUUAAAACGUUUAAUACUUAUUCUAUUUUUUGAAGAUUGCAAGAUACAGUGAUAUCAAGGCAGAAAUACUGGUGACCAUUAUAUUAAGAAACUUUGAGCAGCUGCAAACUAAAAGAACAGCACCAGACUUCCACUAUGCCACCUUAAUCAUAGGUGAUGCAGAUAACCAAGUCGUUUUUAAGCACAAAAUUAUGGAUUCUGUCUUGUUAAAAAGUGGAAAUUGGGUUAAAAAAAUUGAUGUGAAGAGAGCUCUUAUAUCAGAAGAUCUCAGCAUAAAUCUAAUUAGUUCUGAUUAUGUUGGUCUUGAUAUUCACCAGAAAUUUACAGUCUUUUAUUUCGGACCCAGGAAGUUUGUAAAUGAAACAGCUAUGGAAAGAAGCUCAGAAACAGAUAUUUCUCAUUCUGACUACUCAGGUAGAGCCACUGCAACAGGAUCCAGUAAAGGAAUGGCUACCUGCAAAAAACCUGGGAACAGAGAAUGCCAUCAUCACUGUAAAAAUAAACACGCAUGUGGACAUGACUGCUGUAAAAUUGGAGUUGCACAAAAGCCGGAAGUUAAAGAGUCAGCAAUGUCUUCAUAUCUGUCUGACUUAAAAAGCAGAGAUGCUGUUUCUUCUCUUCCUCUAGCCAAGCGACUCAAGAUACAGAUGAACAAAUCUCAAAAUGUGGACCUUAAAGAGUUUGGUUUUACUCCAAGGCCUUCCCUUUCCAGUAUAUCAAGGUCAGAAUAUUUAAAUACCCCUGAAUUGUCAAUAUUAGAACAGAGGAAUCAGCAUGAAAUCUAUGGAAAAGUUCAACAGGGACCAUCUGAAUAUCGUGACAAAGUUCUGGUUUAUUUUUUGAGAAAAAUGUCUCUCCACAUACCCUGCCUUGAUUGGAGCUGUCGUCCACACUGCCUUCCCCCUUGCUCGUGGUGCAUCUGCCACCCAUGUGCGCUGUCUGCUCUCUACUAUUUCCUCUGAGUGUGUAAAUAUGCAUAAGCAUUGCCUUCUUCAGCCACAGCUAGCUCCCAUCUCACUAACGACCUGUGUGAUGAGUGACUUGACAUUCUACACAAAGGGACUUACACACAAAAGAUUUUCCUAGAUGGGACUAUUGUACAACUUCAAGUGAAAAGACCCCUCAAACGGUGAUGUUCAGCAGGCAUGCUAAUAUACCUGGAAACCACAGAGUUGCAGAUGAAGACAAAAGCAAGUCUUCAGAAGUUCUGGGUGUGAACUUAGAGCUGGGAAAUGAAGUCUGGGAUGACUUUGAUGAUGAGAGCUUAAUAGAAGUUAUGAGCCUUUCAGCUGAUGCUGAGAAGAUGGCUGCAUCAGGAUUUGGAGACACUCGUGAUUCAAGUCUCGGCGGAAGUAAGCUACCCUUCCAAAAGUCAAGCAGCAGAUUCCAAAGAGACAACUCAAACAGUUUUGCUUCGUCGCCUGGGAAGCCAGAUGCUUAUUUGCGAGAUUGUUCCAGGUCCAGCUUCGGGCUGUCCUCUGUGGCAGAGAUCCCUCAGCGGGCUGAGAAUGCAAGUCUUGCCAAUUUACAAGAGAGGAGACCGCUGACUCUCUCACCAGUGAUUGAGAGGAUGUGCUUUGCCCACUCUAAGAAAACACCACAGUCUCCCAAGUUUAAGGAAGUGGAUAUUUUUAUUGGAAACAGUGGCUCUAAAAAGGAAAUUGAUCUUAGUAAGUAUUAUCCUGAUGAUGCAGCUGAAGAAAUGAAGGCUCUUCUGGGAAUAUUUAAUGGCAUUUUCUAAAGAAAAAUGUAGUUAAUAAGGCAAAGUAUAAACA